AAAAUGUUUCAAAAUGGAGAAAUGCUGUACUCCUUAAAAAAAUCUAGAACUCAUACUGCAUGCAAAUCCCCCCAACCUCAGACAGAUAUAAAUACACUGCAAGUCCACAGCAGUCUGUGUAUUUGGUUGAGUACAGCAGAGGAAUCAUGAACUGCCCUCUUCUUCUCCUUCUGAUAUCCCCUGUGUCCUAUGUGUGUGGCAUCAGUCUGACCUCGUCUCCUGCUGAGGUUAAACCUCCCGGAUCCUCAGUGAAGUUGUCCUGUCAGAUUUCUGGCUAUCAGCUCUCUAGCUAUGGCACAGGCUGGAUCAGGCAGCCUCCAGGAAAAGCCUUGGAGUGGAUCGGGAUCAUAUGGGGUGGUGGAGGCAUAGACUCUGGAGCUUCUUUUAAAAGUCGCUUCAGCAUCUCCAGAGACACGAGCAAGAAUGUGCUUUACUUGGAUAUCAGCAACCUGGCGGCAGAAGACACUGGUGUUUAUUAUUGUGCAAAGACUGUACAAGGACUGUAAGAGGACUGUACAAAAACUAAUCCUCAAAUAUGUGAUGUUUAUUUUCAAUUCAAACUCACAUCCUGUAUAC